ACGGCUCAGUAACACGUGGAUAACCUACCCAAGAGUCCGGGAUAACCCCGGGAAACUGGGGAUAAUACCGGAUAGGGCAAACUGGCUGGAAGGCGGUUUGGCUGAAACUUCCGGGGCUUUUGGAUGGGUCUGCGGCUGAUUAGGUUGUUGCCGGUGUAACGUACCGUCAAGCCUGUAAUCAGUACGGGUUGUGGGAGCAAGAGCCCGGAGAUGGAUUCUGAGACACGAAUCCAGGCCCUACGGGGCGCAGCAGGCGCGAAAACUCUACAAUGCAGGCAACUGCGAUAGGGGAACAUCGAGUGAUCCUCAUAUUGGGGGCCUGUCCAUCCGCCUAAAAAGCGGGUGUUAGCAAGGGCCGGGCAAGACCGGUGCCAGCCGCCGCGGUAAUACCGGCGGCUCGAGUGGUGGCCGAUAUUAUUGAGUCUAAAGGGUCCGUAGCCGGCUUUGCAAGUCUCUCGGGAAAUCCAGCGGCUUAACCGUUGGUCGUCCGGGGGGUACUACAUUGCUUGGGACUGGGAGAGGUAGGAGGUACUCAGGGGGUAGGAGUGAAAUCCUGUAAUCCUUUGGGGACCACCGGUGGCGAAGGCGUCCUACCAGAACAGGUCCGACGGUGAGGGACGAAAGCUAGGGGCACGAACCGGAUUAGAUACCCGGGUAGUCCUAGCCGUAAACGAUGCUCGCUAGGUGUCACAACAGUCGUGAACUGUUGUGGUGCCGUAGGGAAGCCGUGAAGCGAGCCACUUGGGAAGUACGACCGCAAGGUUGAAACUUAGAGGAAUUGGCGGGGGAGCAC
rnacentral:rRNA from 1 species